rnacentral:rRNA from 1 species
UGGGGAAUAUUGCACAAUGGGCGCAAGCCUGAUGCAGCCAUGCCGCGUGUAUGAAGAAGGCCUUCGGGUUGUAAAGUACUUUCAGCGGGGAGGAAGGCGAUAAGGUUAAUAACCUUGUCGAUUGACGUUACCCGCAGAAGAAGCACCGGCUAACUCCGUGCCAGCAGCCGCGGUAAUACGGAGGGUGCAAGCGUUAAUCGGAAUUACUGGGCGUAAAGCGCACGCAGGCGGUCUGUCAAGUCGGAUGUGAAAUCCCCGGGCUCAACCUGGGAACUGCAUUCGAAACUGGCAGGCUAGAGGCUUGUAGAGGGGGGUAGAAUUCCAGGUGUAGCGGUGAAAUGCGUAGUGAUCUGGAGGAAUACCGGUGGCGAAGGCGGCCCCCUGGACAAAGACUGACGCUCAGGUGCGAAAGCGUGGGGAGCAAACA